UACAGAGGGGGCAAGCGUUGUUCGGAAUUACUGGGCGUAAAGGGCGCGUAGGCGGCCGCCUAAGUCAGACGUGAAAUCCCUCAGCUUAACUGGGGAACUGCGUCUGAGACUGGAUGGCUUGAGUGCAGGAGAGGAACGCGGAAUUCCAGGUGUAGCGGUCAAAUGCGUAGAUAUCUGGAGGAACACCGGUGGCGAAGGCGGCGUUCUGGACUGCAACUGACACUGAGGAACGAAAGCCAGGGGAGCAAACGGG
rnacentral:rRNA from 1 species